GAAAUCUGUAGCUGAAGAAGAGAUGAGCUGAAUCUGCUGCCAUUAGCCUAAUGUCACUCUAUUGACAACCAGGGGGAGCAGCUCAGAAACAGUCCUGACUUCAUAAAGCAACUGCUGCUGUGUGACUGAAUCAUCUGAGAUCUGAUGCCACGGACCAAGAAAUGGAGACCAGGAUUCCAAAUUGACUUCCAACAUGCACCAGAUGGGCGAAGCAAACAUCGGAAUGACGGAGCAGCAAUACAUUUACUUUUCAUGCUGUUCUAUCUUUGACCAAUGCUUACACUUGCAAAAUUUACCUGAGUGACAUAGUGCAAGACUGCAGAGUGUAGGAUGAAAAAAUCAGAAUACACAGACAUGAAUCUGGAAUUGUUCAUCUUUAUUAUGAGUUUAACUAGAGGGGAGCUCAAUGUUGGUUGGUAAUGUAUGCAUUUUGCUGUUGUAAUCUUAAAUAAAACGCGCACACACACACACAGCAGUUAAGUAGUGGAAGUUUCCUGUCUGCAGACAGCAUUCCUGGACCUGACUGAUCGACACCAGGUGGAAUCCUGCAAAGCCAGAAGCAUCAUCUCAGCACACUACCAGAAUUGUGGUGUUGUUGUUUGAAUACAAGACUAUACAAAUAUACAAGGCUUUAGGAAAUUAACAUUG